UACGUAGGUGGCGAGCGUUGUCCGGAUUUACUGGGCGUAAAGAGCGCGCAGGCGGUCGUACAAGUCGCGUGUGAAAGCCCCCGGCUCAACUGGGGAGGGUCACGCGAUACUGUUCGACUCGAAGGCAGGAGAGGGAAGCGGAAUUCCCGGUGUAGCAGUGAAAUGCGUAGAGAUCGGGAGGAACAUCUGUGGCGAAGGCGGCCACCUGGACCAACACUGACACUGAGGCACGAAAGCGUGGGGAGCAAACAGG
rnacentral:rRNA from 1 species